CGUCCCCUCCACCCCGAUGCCCCCCAUCUCUCUCACUUCUCUCUCUCCCGUUCCCUUUUUUCGCCGCCGCCUCCGUCGGCCGGUUCCGGCGAACGCUGGCGGUCUCCGCCGUCGUGGUGGCUACCAAUCUCUUCCUCUCCUCGCGCUCUAUAUGAUCCACCGCAUCGAUUCAUCGAUCCCAUCCUCAUGUGGUUGCCCGCAUCGGAUUUACCCGUCUAGCGUUUCGGUGCGGUCGACUUCCUCAUCGCCGGCGAUGCUCCGGCGCCUUGGUCCGGUCGUCUUUGUCUUCUGCCGUGCUCUCUCGUGCUGCUCUGCUUCCUAACGGCGCUCCCGUGCCUCAGAUGCACGCCAGGGCGGCACGGUGAGCAGGUGGGAGGAGAAGGCGGCGGCGAUUUCGAUCUAUUAUUCUGCGUUGACACGGGAGGCGGUAGAGCGGUCUGGACGAGAUUCCUGGUGCCGGUUUCCUCACCAUGCUGAGGCCACCUGCAUCGAGCAAUGGUUGAUGCCAAGGCUUUAAGGACCUGUUCGGGUUCUCUCCGCUCCACAACUACGGCUCCCGGAGCGGAGGGAGGGGCAGCACAAAUCAGGGAGUGGCUCAAACUGAGGUCCUCGUCUCCUCUACAGCUCGGAGCGGAGUUUUGAGAUUGGAGAGGUUGCGAACAGGCUCUAAGAAUGGACUGCAGCUCUGACCCAAGCAGCGUGAAGCUCCUGAGUCGCAUAUAGCAGAUCUCAAGAGAGGUUUCACUGAAAUUUCAGCAUUCUUCUCCAAUAAUGAGCGUUUAAGAAGGUUGCACACGGAAACCUUAUUCAAAUUCACCAACCAGGAGCAUAAAGGGACAUCAAAUAACUUAAGCAUGACUAUGAAAUGAACUGAAACUCCCUGGAGAGCAAGCUCCGCUGCACUCUUGUCCAGCAAGGCACCGAUGAAGGAUUCUGUUUUUGGGAGACCUGAUUAUGGGGCCAACACGGUCAUGCAAAUUUUUUUGGCAGCAGAAGGUAAUCUAAUAUCAGGAAGGGGCAUCUCACAAUACUGCAGCUAUUAAAAAGAAUCCAAAACAGAGGCGUCUAGGAGAACGAGCUUUGUUGCUGUUCAUCUCCCAGGAUGGUUAUUGCCAAUUACCAGAACCAUGUCAAGCACAAUAAACUGAGGUCCUUUCAUACUACAUGCCUUCUAUUUCAUUUCUGCAUAUUUGAGAGAGGUGGGCGACUCUGCCUGAGCUGCAUGCUAUAUGGCUGGAAGCCAGAGCUCGGGCCCGACGCCUCCGCUCGCCGUUUCCCACGCCUCCGGCGCCCCUGGUGAUUUCCGUGUGGAUCAGGUCUUCAGGGUGCCAAUAUUUUCGGACGUAGUUGGGCCAGCAAGCUCAGAUCUGAAGGAGAGAAUUGACAUGGGUAGCCGACGAGAGGGCAAGAUUCGUACGUGGCGGUGAAUUUAGAUGGCGGCGGCACCAGUGCGGACGAUGCCAAUAGCAAGGACAGCGAGCCGGCGUAGUCCGAAUAGUGUGGAGUGAAUUGAAGCCGGAUCCGCAAGCAUCCGAGUGGAUUAAAGCGGGGGGUGGAGGUGAUGCGAUCUACUCGGGAAUAAGUGAAUGAUAUCAUUAUGAUGCCAAAUUAGUCCGCAAAUACUGCUGCUUCUAGAAUCUGAAUGUACCCGCUAUGCAUGUUGCAGGCAAUGAACUAUUUUACAAGAUAAAAUAUCAGGAAGGGGCAUCUCAUAAUACUGCAGCUAUUAAAAAGAAUCCAAAUGAGCCCGCGGUAAGGAUUUGGUUUACAGUGGUUAUACUUUAUAUAUCAUCUCAAGGCAACUUUAGCUCAUUGGUUAAAUUUGAUUCUCCGUUCAAUUGGUUAAAUUUGGUUCUCCCUUCAAGUUAGAUGAGCCUCUCAUUAAUAUAAAUUCAGUCGUAGAACAUUAUCAUUUAUAAGUUUUCUUUUUUGUUAUACAUUGUUAACUGUAAGAUAUCCUGAUUACUGUACUGUUUUACUUUGAUGAGUCACCAUCGUCGUCCAGAGACAGGUCGGCAAGGGAGGCUAUGAGGAAUUGGGUACAUCCAAACUUCCCCUGUGAUAUCUUUAUUUUAUUCCUCAGUUUAAGCCCAUGGAUAAGAAUAUUUCAGUCGCUGAAGAGAUUGUUGAACAUAUGACAUUGAUGCAAAUCUCUGGCCACCUACAAGUGAAACUGCUUGAAGACCAAGUUCGAAUAUGUAUGAGCGCAGUGAAGUUCGGCAUGCAAGUCUAUUCGCAGUCUCGCACCCUAAUGUAAUCAGUCGAGUAGUGACGGGAAGGCGCCGCCGACCAGGAUGUGGAGGAAGAUGGGGUUGAGACGGGUUGGUGAAGGUGUUGUGGCUGGUCGUUGGCCAAGCAGCCGCCUCUCCCUCGUCUUUGACAUCGUGAAGAAUGAUGUUGAAAUGGAUGCGUGCUGCAGGAGCAGCAGAGGCGUCGUGUGAGCCUUGGGUUCUUCAUCAAUUCGUUCGUGCGUUCCCUUGGUCGCAUGCACGCCUCAGGAUCAGCUCGGAGUUGAAUACUUAACUGGUUCAGGAAAGCUUCAAAUACAAUAGUGGCAAACAUCUCCAUUGAUGCUACAAAGCAUCUCGAUGAUUUUGAAGCGAGUCUUCAUGUUAAUUACAUUACUUUUUGUAUCAUGCCCUAUUGAUCGAAAAGUUACUUAGCCCUAAUCAUCCAUGCUUAAUAAUGAGGAUCGUUUUGGGAUUUUGUUUAGCUUUCCAACACUUCCAUAGUUUAUUAGUACAGAGCUAGAUCUCUCACUGUGCUGAUCACACGUAAUGAAGUCAUUUUACUUGGCUUUCUAGCAACGGGUCAGCAAGUGGGUCAUGAUGAACCAAAUUAUGUUCUCUCUCUUGCAUAUAGAUGCUCACGAUUAUACUGAUCUGAUCAAUUGUAGGUUCCAUAGGAACACUGAACUUGAUUUUGUUGCCUCCUCGUAGCAGGGCCAGGGAAGCAGUGUCAAGUGGAUCCUGGAAGAGCACUGGUGUGGGAUCCGCUGCUGCCAGGUAUGCUUUUCUUCCUUCCCGUCCUCUCGAUCCACUUCCUCUCUUUGUUUCUGAAUUUUGCACUCAAAUUGUGAGGUGAGGCUCAAAAAAUACAGUGGUUACCGACGGCGGCGACGACCACGAAGAUUGUCCCAGCAUCUGGAACAGUGGAUGCAUUGAGAUCGAGAUGACGAUUAGCCACUCCAUCCACGAUCACUGUUUUCCCCCUUUCUUUUUGUGGAGAUGAUUUCACUACUCUUUAUCAAUGCUGUAAUAACCAAGGUGCAUGUGUGACUCGUUCAAUCAAGUGUGUAAUGAACCCUGCUUAAUAUGCCUA